UACGUAGGGUGCAAGCGUUGUCCGGAAUUAUUGGGCGUAAAGAGCUCGUAGGCGGUCUGUCGCGUCUGCUGUGAAAAUCCAGGGCUCAACCCUGGACCUGCAGUGGGUACGGGCAGACUAGAGUGCGGUAGGGGAGAUCGGAAUUCCUGGUGUAGCGGUGAAAUGCGCAGAUAUCAGGAGGAACACCGGCGGUGUAGACGGCUUGCUAGACCACCCCUGACGCUGAGGCACGAAAGCGUGGGUAGCAAACAGG
rnacentral:rRNA from 1 species